AGCCCUCCAUACAACGCUGACACACCUGGACAAGAAGGAGACAUAUGUGAGACUCCUCUUCAUAGACUACAGCUCGGCUUUUAAUACCAUCGUCCCCAACCGGCUGAUCACCAAACUCCUUGAUCUGGGCCUCAGCUACAGCCUGUGUAUGUGGAUUAAGGAUUUCCUAACAGAUCGCCCCCAGACAGUGAGACUGGGUCCUCACCAAUCCUCGAGCCUGUCCCUCAGCACCGGAGCUCCACAAGGCUGUGUAUUGAGUCCCCUGCUCUACUCCGUCUACACAUAUGACUGCACCAACACCCAUACUUCAAAUACAGUAAUCAAAUUUGCAGAUGACACGACUGUGGUAGGACAAAUCACCAACGAAAAUGAAAGUGCCUACAGAGACGAAGUUGACAGACUGACAGGAUGGUGUAAGCAAAACAACCUGACCCUGAAUGUCAAAAAGACAAAAGAAAUCAUAGUUGACUUCAGACGGCAAAAGGCAAACCCUCAACCCCUCAUCAUCAAUGGUGAGGAAGUGGAGAGGACCUCCUGCUUUAAGUUCCUGGGGGUUAUGCUCUCAGAGGACCUGAAAUGGGUGAGUAACACAACCGCCACAGUCAAGAAAGCACAGCAGCGGCUCUACUUCUUGAGAAUACUGAAGAGAAACAACCUGUCUCCCGAGCUGCUUAAGUCUUUUUACCACUGUUGCAUUGAAAGUGUCCUCACAUACUGCAUCACUGCAUGGUAUGUCAACUGCACAGACAAGGACAGGAAAUCCCUCAGUCAGGUCAUAAGGUCUGCGGAGAGAAUAAUUGGACUUUCACUGCCUCCCCUGGACGACAUCUUUAGGACACGCUGCCUCCGCCGAGCAUGUGGCAUUUUGAAGGAUGAGACUCACCCACGCAAACCAUCUCUUCACCCUGCUACCCUCUGGCAGGCGCUACCGGGCCACUACAGCCCGCACCUCCAGACUGCGGAACAGUUUCAUCCCCAGGGCCAUCACAGAACUAAACAAUCACACAACCCUCAUACCCUCCACCCAGCACAACUGCACUUUUUUUAGUGGUUGCACAAACAAAUUUCGUUGUGUAUCUAAUGCACAAUGACAAAUAAAGUCUAUUCUAUUCUAAUAACAUACACACACACACACACACACACACACACACACACACACACACACACACUCUGUGAACUG
rnacentral:lncRNA from 1 species